AGCGAACGCUGGCGGCAGGCUUAACACAUGCAAGUCGAGCGGGCCCUUCGGGGUCAGCGGCAGACGGGUGAGUAACACGUGGGAACGUACCCUUUGGUUCGGAAUAACGCUGGGAAACUAGCGCUAAUACCGGAUACGCCCUUUUGGGGAAAGGCUUGCUGCCGAAGGAUCGGCCCGCGUCUGAUUCGCUAGUUGGUGGGGUAAUGGCCUACCAAGGCGACGAUCAGUAGCUGGUCUGAGAGGAUGAUCAGCCACACUGGGACUGAGACACGGCCCAGACUCCUACGGGAGGGAGCAGUGGGGAAUAUUGGACAAUGGGCGCAAGCCUGAUCCAGCCAUGCCGCGUGAGUGAUGAAGGCCGUAGGGUUGUAAAGCUCUUUUGGCCGGGACGAUAAUGACGGUACCGGAAGAAUAAGCCCCGGCUAACUUCGUG
rnacentral:rRNA from 1 species